AAGGCGAGGCCGACAGGCGUAGUCGAUGGACAACGGGUUGAUAUUCCCGUACCCGUGUAUCCGCGUCCAUGCUGAAUCAGCUGUACUAACCAUCCAAAUGGUGAUCGAUUUCCUUCGGGAGACGUGAGCCGGCUGCAUGGGACCUUGGCUGGUAGUAGGCAAGCGAUGGGGUGACGCAGGAAGGUAGUGGGGCCAGUCAGUGGUAAUACUGGUGUAAGCCUGUAGGACGAACGAUAGGUAAAUCCGUCGUUCAUGUGUCUGAGAGGUGAUGCGUAGCCGUUGAGGCGAAUUCCAUG
rnacentral:rRNA from 1 species